rnacentral:rRNA from 1 species
AUGGAAGGCAUUGACUUCGAUGAAACAUUUACUCCUGUGGCUAGAUUUGAAGCCAUACGCAUACUGCUGACCUAUGCAAAUCAUCACAACAUGCUUUUAUAUCAAAUGGAUGUGAAGAGCGUCUUUCUCAAUGGCAAGAUUGAAGAAGAAGUGUAUGUUACACAACCGCCUGGCUUUGAAGAUCCAAAACAUCCUGACAUGGUAUACAAGCUCAACAAGGCAUUGUAUGGCCGCAAACAAGCCUCUCGGGCCUGGUAUGACACACUCAAAUACUUCCUGAAGAGUAAAGGCUUCAUACCUGGUUCCCUAGACCCCACUCUCUUCACAAAAACAUAUGAUGGUGAACUGUUUGUGUGCCAAAUAUAUGUGAAUGACAUUAUCUUCGGCUGCACCAAUCAGAAAUACAGUGAAGAGUUUGGAUAUAUGAUGUAA